AGUGCUAUAUGACUUUCAAUGUAUUAGGUUUAUCCAACUCGUUGAAUAGUUUAAUGGUAUAUUUCUCGGUAUUCUAGGCUCGGCCUUACAAUAUAACAAACAAGUUUGACCUCAAAUCAGGUAGGAUUACCCGCUGAACUUAAGCAUAUCAAUAAGCGGAGGAAAAGAAACCAACAGGGAUUGCCUUAGUAACGGCGAGUGAAGCGGCAAAAGCUCAAAUUUGAAAUCUGGCACCUUCGGUGUCCGAGUUGUAAUUUGAAGAAGGUAACUUUGGAGUUGGCUCUUGUCUAUGUUCCUUGGAACAGGACGUCACAGAGGGUGAGAAUCCCGUGCGAUGAGAUGCCCAAUUCUAUGUAAAGUGCUUUCGAAGAGUCGAGUUGUUUGGGAAUGCAGCUCUAAGUGGGUGGUAAAUUCCAUCUAAAGCUAAAUAUUGGCGAGAGACCGAUAGCGAACAAGUACAGUGAUGGAAAGAUGAAAAGAACUUUGAAAAGAGAGUGAAAAAGUACGUGAAAUUGUUGAAAGGGAAGGGCUUGAGAUCAGACUUGGUAUUUUGCGAUCCUUUCCUUCUUGGUUGGGUUCCUCGCAGCUUACUGGGCCAGCAUCGGUUUGGAUGGUAGGAUAAUGACUAAGGAAUGUGGCUCUACUUCGGUGGAGUGUUAUAGCCUUGGUUGAUACUGCCUGUCUAGACCGAGGACUGCGUCUUUUGACUAGGAUGUUGGCAUAAUGAUCUUAAGCCACC
rnacentral:rRNA from 1 species